rnacentral:rRNA from 1 species
GAUGAACGCUGGCGGCGUGCCUAACACAUGCAAGUCGAACGGGCUAAACUGAAACCUAGUGAUGUUUAGUUAGUGGCGGACGGGUGAGUAACGCGUGGGUAACCUGCCUCACACUGGGGGAUAACAGUUAGAAAUGACUGCUAAUACCGCAUAAGCGCACAGCUUCGCAUGAAGCAGUGUGAAAAACUCCGGUGGUGUGAGAUGGACCCGCGUCUGAUUAGCUAGUUGGUAGGGUAACGGCCUACCAAGGCGACGAUCAGUAGCCGGCCUGAGAGGGUGACCGGCCACAUUGGGACUGAGACACGGCCCAAACUCCUACGGGAGGCAGCAGUGGGGAAUAUUGCACAAUGGGGGAAACCCUGAUGCAGCGACGCCGCGUGAGCGAUGAAGUAUUUCGGAUGUAAAGCUCUAUCAGCAGGGAAGAACAUGACGGUACCUGACUAAGAAGCCCCGGACUAACUACGUGCCAGCAGCCGCGU